CAUCCCAGUUCGGAUCGCAGGCUGCAACCCGCCUGCGUGAAGUUGGAAUCGCUAGUAAUCGCGGAUCAGCAUGCCGCGGUGAAUACGUUCCCGGGCCUUGUACACACCGCCCGUCACACCAUGAGAGUCGGGAACACCCGAAGUCCGUAGCCUAACUGCAAAGGGGGCGCGGCCGAAGGUGGGUUCGAUAAUUGGGGUGAAGUCGUAACAAGGUAUC
rnacentral:rRNA from 1 species